UAGCCUUGGGGGGGGGCGCGGGCGAAGUUCGUCCGCCGGACUCGGAAUGGGGCGAGACUUUGCGAGGGGCCUCGGGGCGCCAAAAAUAAGCCGCGGGCAAAGCCGCGCCCAAAAAUAAGCGCCCGAAGGUCGUGGUGCCAAAACCCCCCAGCGGAAAAAUGGCCAAAAAACGGGUGGGCUAUAGCCUUGGUGGGGGGCGCGGGCGAAGUUCGUCCGCCGGACUCGGAAUGGGGCGAGACUUUGGGAGGGGCCUCGGGGUGCCAAAAAUAAGCCGCGGGCAAAGCCGCGCCCAAAAAUAAGCGCCCGAAGGUCGUGGUGCCAAAACUCCCCAGCGGAAAAAUGGCCAAAAAACGGGUGGGCUAUAGCCUUGGUGGGAGGUGCGGGCGAAGUUCGUCCGCCGGACUCGGAAUGGGGCAAGACUUUGCGAGGGGCCUCGGGAUACCCGCGGUAAGUCUUGGGCACAGCCGCGCCGAAAAAUAAGCACCCGAAGGUCGUGGUGCCAAAACCCCCGAGCGGAAAAAUGGCCAAAAAACGGGGGGGUUAUAGCCUUGGUGGGGGGGGCGGGCGAAGUUCGUCCGCCGGACUAGGAAUGGGGCGAGACUUUGCGAGGGGCCUCGGGGUGCCCGCGGGAAGCAGCGGGAACAGCCGCGCCCAAAAAUAAUGGCCGAAGGUCGUGGUGCCAAAACCCCCCAGCGGAAAAAUGGCCAAAAAUUGGGUGGGCUAUAGCCUUGGUGGGGGGCGCGGGCGAAGUUCGUCCGCCGGACUCGGAAUGCGGCGAGACUUUGCGAGGGGCACCGGGGUGCCCACGGGAAGUCGUGGGCACCGCCGCGCCCAAAAAUAAGCGCCCGAAGGUCGUGGUGCCAAAACCCCCGAGCGGAAAAAUGGCCAAAAAACGGGUGGGCUAUAGCCUUGGUGGGGGGCGCGGGCGAAGUUCCCCCGCCGGACUCGGAAUGAGGCAAGAAUUUGCGAGGGGCCUCGGGGUGCCAAAAAUAAGCCGCN
rnacentral:lncRNA from 1 species